AUACGUAGGGGGCGAGCGUUGUCCGGAAUUAUUGGGCGUAAAGGGCGCGUAGGCGGCCCGGUAAGUCUGGAGUGAAAGUCCUGUUUUUAAGAUGGGAAUUGCUUUGGAUACUGUCGGGCUUGAGUGCAGGAGAGGUAAGUGGAAUUCCCAGUGUAGCGGUGAAAUGCGUAGAGAUUGGGAGGAACACCAGUGGCGAAGGCGACUUACCGGACUGGAACUGACGCUGAGGCGCGAAAGUGUGGGGAGCAAACAGGAUUAGAUACCCUGGUAGUCCACACUGUAAACGAUGAAUGCUAGGUGUAGGGGGUAUCGACCCCUUCUGUGCCGCAGUCAACACAAUAAGCAUUCCGCCUGGGGAGUACGGCCGCAAGGUUGAAACUCAAAGGAAUUGGCGGGG
rnacentral:rRNA from 1 species